rnacentral:rRNA from 1 species
UACGUAGGGUGCAAGCGUUGUCCGGAAUUAUUGGGCGUAAAGAGCUCGUAGGCGGUUUGUCGCGUCGGCUGUGAAAUCCCGAGGCUCAACCUCGGGCCUGCAGUCGAUACGGGCAAACUAGAGUGUGGUAGGGGAGACUGGAAUUCCUGGUGUAGCGGUGAAAUGCGCAGAUAUCAGGAGGAACACCGGUGGCGAAGACGAGUCCCUGGACAACUUCUGACGCUGAGGCACGAAAGCUAGGGGAGCAAACAGG